rnacentral:rRNA from 1 species
UACGUAGGGGGCUAGCGUUGUCCGGAAUCAUUGGGCGUAAAGAGCGUGUAGGCGGUUUGGGAAGUCCGCUGUGAAAGUCGGGGGCUCAACCCUCGAAUGCCGGUGGAUACUGUCGGGCUAGAGUGCGGAAGAGGCGAGUGGAAUUCCUGGUGUAGCGGUGAAAUGCGCAGAUAUCAGGAGGAACACCUAUUGCGAAGGCAGCUCGCUGGGACGUAACUGACGCUGAGACGCGAAAGCGUGGGGAGCAAACAGG